rfam:Camelus ferus unplaced genomic scaffold scaffold875, whole genome shotgun sequence.
UGCCCCCACGGCGCCAGCCAGCCUCGUGGCAUCCCAGGCCUGGUCGCCAUACGCCGCCUACCAACCGCUUUCAACCACCCCAGCAGCACAGCCUCUUAGGGCGUUCCAACGCGGCGCCCCCUA